CCAUGUCUCCAUCAUUCUUCUUGUCAGUGCCUCAUCUUGUCAGGUCUUGGAAGCUCAGCAGUGAUGGGCCUGGUUAGUACUUUGGUGGGGGUUCCUGGGAAAAUCAGGUGCCACAGCGC
rnacentral:rRNA from 1 species